ACACUCCUGCGGGAGGCAGCAGUGGGGAAUAUUGGACAAUGGGCGCAAGCCUGAUCCAGCCAUGCCGCGUGAGUGAUGAAGGCCCUAGGGUUGUAAAGCUCUUUCACCGGAGAAGAUAAUGACGGUAUCCGGAGAAGAAGCCCCGGCUAACUUCGUGCCAGCAGCCGCGGUAAUACGAAGGGGGCUAGCGUUGUUCGGAAUUACUGGGCGUAAAGCGCACGUAGGCGGAUCGAUCAGUCAGGGGUGAAAUCCCAGGGCUCAACCCUGGAACUGCCUUUGAUACUGUCGAUCUGGAGUAUGGAAGAGGUGAGUGGAAUUCCGAGUGUAGAGGUGAAAUUCGUAGAUAUUCGGAGGAACACCAGUGGCGAAGGCGGCUCACUGGUCCAUUACUGACGCUGAGGUGCGAGAGCGUGGGGAGCAAACAGGAUUAGAUACCCGGGUAGUCC
rnacentral:rRNA from 1 species